rnacentral:rRNA from 1 species
UUCCGGUUGAUCCCGCCGGACCCGACUGCUAUUUGGGUGAGAAUAAGCCAUGCGAGUUGAAUGGGAUACCUAAAGUUCCCAUAGCAAACUGCUCAGUAACACAUGAUCAACUUGCCCUAUAGAGAAAAAUAACCUCGGGAAACUGAGGAUAAUGUUUCAUAAUUGAAUUGGCUUGGAAAAGUUUUUCAAUGAAAAGGAUAAAAAAAAUGGUUUUUAUCUGCUAUAGGAUAGGAUCGUGUUCGAUUAUGGUUGUUGGUGAGAUAAUGGCUCACCAAGCCGAUAAUCGAUAGGGGCCGUGAGAGCGGGAGCCCCGAGAUGGGUACUGAGACAACGACCCAGGCCUUACGAGGCGCAGCAGGCGCGGAACCUUCGCAAUACACGAAAGUGUGACGGGGUUACCCAAAGUGUUCAAUAGAACUGUGGUAGGUGAGUAAUGUCCCCUACUAGAAAGGAGAGGGCAAGGCUGGCGCCAGCCGCCGCGGUAAAACCAGCUCUUCAAGUGGUCGGGAUAAUUAUUGGGCUUAAAGUGUCCGUAGCCGGUUUAGUAAGUUCCUGGUAAAAUCGGGUAGCUUAACUAUCUGCAUGCUAGGAAUACUGCUAUACUAGAGGGCGGGAGAGGUCUGAGGUACUACAGGGGUAGGGGUGAAAUCUUAUAAUCCUUGUAGGACCACCAGUGGCGAAGGCGUCAGACUGGAACGCGCCUGACGGUGAGGGACGAAAGCCAGGGGAGCGAACCGGAUUAGAUACCCGGGUAGUCCUGGCCGUAAACGAUGCAUACUAGGUGAUGGUACGGCCAUGAGCCGUAUCAGUGCCGUAGGGAAACCGUUAAGUGUGCCGCCUGGGAGGUACGGUCGCAAGGCUAAAACUUAAAGGAAUUGGCGGGGGAGCACCACAAGGGGUGAAGCCUGCGGUUCAAUUGGAUUCAACGCCGGGAAUCACUAGUGCGGCCG